CGAGCACAUCUACAGCUAUAACAUUGAUAUUUGGAAGGACAUGAUCUGGAUCUACAAAUGUAAGAGUAACAGCCGCCGUUGGUCAAAAAUGGAAGUACUCCACUACCAGAAGGAGGUUCAUUAGAUGUGAAAGCAAUUUGAAGCUUUUCAAGAUUUAUGACUUCCACAAGACCGUAAUUAAUCCAAUCACCAAGGAUGUUUUUCGCGAUAAUUUCAGCAAUCAAAAAUUCCAUAGAUGCAAUGUGAAUAGUAAAUAGCGUAGCCAUCACCUGAGCUACUUCUCGACGAGACACACCUUCGUGGACCAGGCCACCAAGAGCAGUAAACACUUCUUCUUUGCACCAUUUGUAUAAUUUACCGACCAACCAAGGUUCUCUACAGCUGCUAAAAAGGGUUUCCGAUUGAGCACGUCUGUGAGUUCGAGUUAUCAAAGGAGAAGAAAUUUUUCCAGAUGCAUAGUCUUGGACAGGUAUCUUUGGUAGCUGUCUUGUAGAGGAAAUAUCAGAUUUUAAACUAUAAGGAUUUGGGGGUGUUAGAUAUUCGACGGAAGGGCUUAAAGGCGACUGUGGACGAAGAGCGUCGCUCGAGUAAAGACGAAUCGGACUAGGAGUGCGAGCCGGUGAUCGAGUAGGUGAUAAAGGAAGAUAUGGCUCUGGUGAGCAGGAUAACGAUAUGUCAUUGUAUAGAGAGUAAAGACUAGUGGAGGAUGUGGUGCUGUAAGGAGAAGAAUGCGAAGAAACAGAAGAAGGAAGGGGUGGACGUGGUAAAGGAUGCACUAAGGACCCACCAGGAGAAACAGGCGUUUCAGGUAAUGGACGAAACGAAUCUACAGUAUUUUGUUUGUUUCCAGGAGAUGUUAAAAAGGGGUCCGUGUCAAGCGGGUUGUUAGGACUGAAAUCAUCAAAUAAGGCAUUAGGAAAUGAAGAGUAAGUAGUAUAGGCUGCAGAAUUUUGAGGUUCAUUCGGCAAUUGUCGAUACGUUGUUCUUGAUGGAGAUGACUGAACCGUGUAAGACGCGACUCUACGAGAGUUAAUGGAUGCUGGAUGUUGAGGAGGCGAAUAAGAAAACCGAUGGGGAGAAUUAUUCGAACGUUUAGAAAGAAAAGGAGGAGAAAAGAGUCUGGUGGUAGAAAAGUCGGAAAACGAUAGACGUUUCUGAAAAGAUGGUGGAGAAGAGGAAUGAGGAGGAUAAGUGUCCUCUGAAGAGUCUAAACAAAUUCGGCUCUUUCCACCAUGGUCUUUCGAGCUCCGAUGAAAAAGUUCAUUGGAGAGCUUCAUAAAAGAAAAAGUGGUAGGGGGAACCACAAUCACCAAAAAUGACUAGGUCAAAAAAGAACUACAAUAAUAUUUGAAGAAUCAAGGCAAGCUAAGGCCAAAUAGGAGUCAAUUUCAAUUGCAAUCCAAGAAAGAGAAAGGUCAAAACUAAAUGUUGCAGGAUGGACAGUGCAACAAAAGAGAAAAGAGAGGUGAAAAAAGAUAGAAAAAGGAAUUGAGAAAGAAGAGUAUAAAAAAAAAGAAAGAAAUGCGAAGAGAAAUUAAUAAAUGGAAUAAAAUAAGGGAAAAUAAAUUAAAAUAGAACAAAUUCAGUGUCAAUGGAAUUCAAAAAAUGCAAACCAAUCUCGUACGCCCUCAAAAAAAGCAAUUUUAUAGUAAGCCGGAAUGAAAACGAUUGAUGCUUUCAAAGUUAUGCGAUGAACCAGAGAAACUCCCGUCCUCUAUUAAUAAAAGACUUUGACAUAAAAUUACGAAUACAGAAAGAAAGAAAAAAAGAAAGAAAGAAUUGUAUCGCAAUAUCAAUGCAACAGUCUGUUUAUUCGGUUUGUGAUGCCACAAUAAAAGGGUUAGGGCGGAAGGAAUAAUAUAGGAUGAUCUGAUUGAAACAACCCAAAAAGGAAAGAAAGCUCCCAAGCGUUUCAGAGGAAUCAAGUUUCGUAGGUUUAUAGACAGAGAAAGAGAGAAAGCAAAAGCAGUAUAUUAUGAAAGGUAAUGACUUGAUCAAAAAAACAACCUCUUCUAAUGAAACGUUUGGGAUAAAUCAAAAUCGAUGCCUAAGAAAAGAUUAUAGGACUUUAUGGUUUUUAAAUAUAUGUGUAAAUGUUAAAUAACUUAUAACCCACCACCAAGGGAUCUUCGUGGACGGCGAGCGGAGUGGAUAAGAAAAUGGCUGGUUGUAUGUUCGCGACGGAAGAACAAAAUUGGUCUUUGACUAGCAAAUUUUCCAAAUUUAGAUUACAUGAUUUAAACGAUAAAUAGGGCAAAUAAAGUGUACAAAAAGAUAUUUGAUCAAUUUAUAUGAUGUUGAGCACAAGCUGA